UACGGAGGGUGCAAGCGUUAUCCGGAUUCACUGGGUUUAAAGGGUGCGUGGGUGGGUUGGUAAGUCAGUGGUGAAAUCUCCGAGCUUAACUUGGAAACUGCCAUUGAUACUAUCAGUCUUGAAUACCGUGGAGGUCAGCGGAAUAUGUCAUGUAGCGGUGAAAUGCUUAGAUAUGACAUAGAACACCAAUUGCGAAGGCAGCUGACUACGCGAAUAUUGACACUGAUGCACGAAAGCGUGGGGAUCAAACAGG
rnacentral:rRNA from 1 species